AAGUCGUAACAAGGUUUCCGUAGGUGAACCUGCGGAAGGAUCAUUAUCAACGUAUCCACGUUUAUAAACCAAAUUACGCGCACUGUUAUCAUUUCACCUUUGGGUUAUUGGCCGCUAUCAGUUGACACAUAUGGAGUUCAUUGUAUGGUUAUGGGCUCGUCCUGAUAAUUUAAGGCUGUCUCUCCAAAGCGUAGUUAAUCAUACGUUAUCUUUUAUUAACCAAUUGAACCCUUUUUAUUUUAUAUUUUGUUUGAACUGAUUUGUUUCUUUACUCGGCGCCUUACAGCGUCGAGAAGGAAAAUAAAUUACGAAACAAUAAAGAACAACUCUUAGCAACGGAUAUCUUGGUUCUC
rnacentral:misc_RNA from 1 species